UACGUAGGGGGCAAGCGUUGUCCGGAAUCAUUGGGCGUAAAGCGCGUGUAGGCGGCUUGGUAAGUCUGCUGUGAAAGCCCGGGGCUCAACCCCGGGAGGCGGGUGGAUACUGUCAAGCUCGAGUCCGGAAGAGGAGUGUGGAAUUCCUGGUGUAGCGGUGAAAUGCGCAGAUAUCAGGAGGAACACCAAUGGCGAAGGCAGCACUCUGGGACGUGACUGACGCUGAGGCGCGAAAGCGUGGGGAGCAAACGGG
rnacentral:rRNA from 1 species